AGCUCCUUAGACCUUGGCUCGCUGAGGCACGAGGCACUUGACCGUUAGCGAGAUGGGGUUGGAGCUGUAGGCUCUGACCCUUGGGCCUGGGUGCUUCUGGGGCGUGUGGUGCUGAGGCAAGGAGGAGGAGGAGAGGGAGGAGACGGAAGCCUUGAUUCCCACAGCACCCAAGAGUCAGUUAUUUCAUAGUUUCACAUAAAAAACUAGAUGGAGACAUCUGUACCCAUUGAUCUGACAGUUCAAAAACCACAUGUGGACAAGAAAGAACGCAAGCCAAGACAAAGACGUUUAAGACCUAACGAUCAAAGCAGCAAAGAUGGUACGCCACCAGAGAGCCAAUCGGCUGACGUCACGGCAAAGCGAAGCUCAUCCGGGUCCUUGAAAUCAGAGGGAGCAGAGGGGAUCUACCAAGAUUACUACCCAGGCAUGGCGUUUAUACAGUCUUUCAAAAUAGGAGCUUUGAUGUCUAUAAUCCCGUAAGGCAUAGCAGGUAGAAAUGCCUCCAACUGUAUUCUUAAAGGCAUCAUAAUUUAAAUACUGAUACAGAUAAUGAUAAUGAUAAAAUAACAGGAAUGCCCCCAGUACCACCAAGAAUGCCUGACAUCUCUAACCUCUUUAUAAUGUGAUCAUUGUGAAU